UACGGAGGGGGCUAGCGUUAUUCGGAAUUAUUGGGCGUAAAGGGCGCGUAGGCGGCCCGGUAAGUCAAAGGUGAAAUCCCUCGGCUCAACUGAGGAACUGCCUUUGAAACUGUCGGGCUUGAGGCCGGGAGGGGGUAGCGGAAUUCCCAGUGUAGCGGUGAAAUGCGUAGAUAUUGGGAGGAACACCGGUGGCGGAGGCGACUACCUGGACCGGUUCUGACGCUGAUGCGCGAAAGCGUGGGUAGCAAACAGG
rnacentral:rRNA from 1 species